GCGAUUGUAGCUCAGUUGGUUAGAGCACCGGUUUGUGGUACCGGAUGUCGGGGAUUCGAGUUCCCUCAAUCGCCCCA
rnacentral:tRNA from 1 species